rnacentral:rRNA from 1 species
CGAAGGACCCGAGCGUUAUCUGGAUUUACUGGGUUUAAAGGGUGUGUAGGCGGACUUUUAAGUCCGUGGUGAAAUCUCCGGGCUCAACCCGGAAACUGCCAUGGAUACUAAAGGUCUUGAAUAUUGUUGAGGUGGGCGGAACGGGUCAUGUAGCGGUGAAAUGCAUAGAUAUGACCCGGAACACCGAUUGCGAAGGCAGCCCACUAAGCAAUGAUUGACGCUGAGGCACGAAAGCGUGGGGAUCAAACAGGAUUAGAUACCCUGGUAGUCCACGCCCUAAACGAUGAUUACUCGACGUUGGCGAUACACCGAUCAGCGUCCAAGCGAAAGCAUUAAGUAAUCCACCUGGGAAGUACGUUCGCAAGAAUG